ensembl:lncRNA
UGUCGAGAGCUUCAGUCAGAGUUUUGACAUCAUGUCCACCGAUACACAAGCUAAUGUCUACGUUGACUUCAUCAAAGUCUUCCUCUCUCAGAACAGCACUGCAGGUUGGACACACACACACACCCACACACACACACACACAGGGAUCUGUAGCGAAUGCUCAGCUGUGACGUGUUGCUCUGUGUUUAGGGUGUGUGAACGUCUCUCAGAGCAGCUCUGAUUGGCUGAUCAGCAGCUUUGGACGUUUCUCUGUUUUCACCACAGUCACCGACCUGCAGACGUUCAACCCCAGCUUCAGUGUGUUGGACACUCUGAGUCUGUUGAGCCUGAGGCAGUUAGUGGAGGUUUCCAGCACUCCUGGAUUCCUGUCCAGUGCUGCUGCGGUUAAUAAUCUGCUGCUCUACGUGCCGGACGCUCAGUUCACAGCGUUCUUCUUAUCCCUCUCCGCUACGCUACAGAUGCAGGGCGUUGUUCUCCCAUCCCCCGUGCAGGAGGUGUUUCUGCAGCAGGUGUUUAACAGGGCCAAUCUGACCACGUCAUCAGACGCUGAUCUGCAAACCUGGAUCCUGAACAUACUGCCGUCCUUCAUAGCCAACAUCACCGUCCAACAUGUGACGUCCUACUUCAGCGUCGUCCUGCAGCGACCCUGUCCCAUCAGCCAGCAGGCGUAAUCUUCCAGGGUGCAGCUGUUGAACUUGUCCAGCUCCACCUUCCAGCCGGCGACACAAGAUCAGAUCUACCAGCUGAUCCUCGGCUCUCUCACAGGUGUCCAUCCAUCCGUCCAUCUAUACAUGUAUUCAUCACUCCAUCCACUCACCCAGCAUCCUUCUGUCUCCACAGGCCCCGCCCCGCUGCGCUGCUAUGCUAACCAGAGCUACUACGCUUUCCUGACGUCCUCCUUCAUGAGCUUCCAGUUCCCCAAUCUGACCACCUUCCUGUCGCUGAUGCCGCCGGCUCGCGUGCCAGAGCUGAUGGAGUCGGUGUCUCCAGCGGAGGUCAGCAGUCUCCUGAACUGGCCCAACGCUGUGGACGAUGUUGCCCAAAUCUGCCAGCUUUUCAGAAUCUACCCAAAGACGCCCCAGUACUUACAGACGGAGCCGCUGUUGCCCGUGGGUUUGGCCUGGCAGGUGUUGUCCUGCAUCUGGCCUCAGGUUCUGAAGGUGGACGUCCAGUCUGAAGUGAAUCAGUGGUUUGAUCAUCGACUGGUUCAGUACCUGCCUCUCCUCACCUCACAGUUCAUCGCUCCAGACGUCAUGCUAAACGCCUCCUGUCUCUCCUUCAAGAAGUUUGUUUCAGCGAUGGCUAAAUACAACUACAGUGCAGCCGAGUUUUCUCCGAGCGACAUCUACGGUUCCAUCCUGGUCUACCUCAACACCUCUUCAGGUUCAACUCCUAAAUGCUAUAACACCUCCAACCCGGAUCUCAACUCCACCACCUGGUUCGCAGACUACAUCUCCGUCUUCUUGAGCUUCAUCACACUGGACGACCUCCUCCAGUUUGGCUCAAUUCAGCCGUUCCUCGUGAACCUGGAUAACCUGCAGCUCUUCGCUCAGACCAGUGUUCCUGAUGACGUGAUGGAGCACUACGUGACUCUGCUAUUCGAGAUGAAUCCGUCCUUCAGCGCCU